GCAGUUCCUGAGUACCAAGCAGAGGAGGGAGCUCUGUGAAAUGUGGUCACUUGACCAGAAGAAGAAGCGCACUGGGAGAAAGAAGAAAAGGCGCAAGAGUUGACGUCUAGGUUUGCGAGAAUAAAGAAGCAUGAGGGCGACCAGCACCGUCCGACGCUGCCUGACAUAUUCAUCCAUGAUCAAUUGAAAAAAAUUCUGGCCACCUCUUUAUCCUUAGAAGAGUUAUCACUGAAACCAAGCUCAUCCUUCAUGGUCCAGCUCAAAUGACACGUCCUUUAACCCAGGCUAUCCGGCUCCAAAGCUGGCACUAUUAGCAACAAAGUGAUGAUGAUGGUGAUGGUGAUGAUGGUGAUGAUGAUGGAAGAGAGGUUGAAGAUGAUGCUGAUAUGUGAGGACUGGCACAUGGUAACUGCUCAAUAAAUGCUUAGUAUUAUUAAAACGCUCACUGAUUUGUAAAGAUUUCUAGAGACAGAAGUUCUACAUCCAUCUUAGGUACUCUUUCAAGAAUUAAAUCACUUUUAUUCCCUUUCUUAUAUAUUAAACUCUUUCUUGCUAUUAUUGAAGCCUAUGUUCUCUUUCUCAGAUUUCUAGGAAAGAAGGGAAUAAAAACCUUCCUGAAAUAGUUAACUCUAUUUCAGAAUAUUCAGGAAGCUAUUAACCCC